rnacentral:misc_RNA from 1 species
CUGCGAGUUCGCGGGAGAGUAAGUUAUUGCCAGGGUUUUUAUUUUAUACUUUAAACCUUAAAUUUAUUUUUUAAAUGUUUAUAUUAUUUGAAUAAAACAUUCAAAUAAUAUAAAAAAUAAUAUAUAUAUUGACAUGGAUUAAACAAAGAUAUAUAUUAUUUUAUGUUGUAUAAACAAAUUGGCAAAAUAGAGAUGGAAGAUAAAAAUAUGGUCAAAGUAAUAAGAGUCUAUGGUGAAUGCCUAGGA